AUGUAGCAAAGCUGAUGCCUGUCUUAUGGCCUAAUGACAUUGGUUCAGUGAUUUCCACAAUAUCUGUAUCAUUUUACAUUAGUCUAACAGAUAACCCUCCAUUACAGGAACUUAAUUCCUUACGGUUAGUGGUAAAAGUAGCUAAUGACUCACUGCUGAAUUAUAUAGGCUACAUUGAAUAUACAUAGUCAACCAUUUUAGUCUCGUGCUAGUUUUGAUGUGUUGUUACUUGUUGUGCCAGAUACAGAGUAUAACCAGCAUUGUCCAGCGCUGUUAGGUACCAAUGUAGUAAGUGUUGUAAAAGCAUUAGCCUUGGAUGGCGUCAUGUUCCCAUCUGAGAGGGAAAUCGCUGUGCCCGGUACAUUGUAUAACUUGAUCCUACUCUGUGAGAACCUUGAGCAGGAAGCCAAUCACCUUUGAUCCUUAUGAGUCCAUGGUUAUUACUGACAUCGCGAGGGGACUUGACCUAGAUAUACAAAAUCUUGUUACCGAGAAUGCCGCAAUUUUGACCGGAAGUAUACAGUUUGCCCUCGUAUCAUCAAAAUUCCAGCCAAGACAGAUACCACAUCCCCUAUCAUGAGGCAGAAAAUGAGAGAGCUUUAGCCAAUUUCAAAGAUUUCCAUCAAUGCUUUUUUCAAUAAAAACGAAAUAAAACUCAA